CGCAGUUACCAUCGCCCGCGUCCUAUUCACAGAAAAGGGGGUGCGCGAGUUGUCGAGAAAGUCCCUGUUGCGUCGGCGAACGACUUUGUUCGUCCUCACGGGAACGCGGACGGGCUUGAGAUUUGCCGAUCGUGUCAUGGCGGGUCGCAGUCGACCCACGUCCCUCUUUCCUCUGUGUCGACGCAUCUGCAGGUCCCUUGGCGAGCGUCAUUGGCUUGCAUGCGUUGUCCGUGGCGGGACGUGUAUUCUGUGACGUUGCUGCGGCUCCGUUUUGCCGUUUCGAUCGCCGCUUCGUGUUAUCAUCUUUACUCGGUGUGCGUGUGUGUGUGUGUGUGUGUGAGGCGGCGGGGGCUAAGGACCUGCUACGUAUUCGGGUGCUGCACGGACUGCGGAAAACACAACGCCGUCCUGAUUGGCAUUCGCUCCGCCCUGCCAAGCCGCCAUGCUCCGUCGCAGCGGGGUACGUCUCGUGUACGAGCGCUUUGAAGGCCACGUCUCAGGGGACAAGGGCCACAUGACGCUGCAGCAGGCGUGCACCAUCUUUGGCUACCAGCUCGACGAGGAGUGGACCAAGAAGGAUAUCAAGAAGCGAUUUCAGAAACUGGCGCUGCGAUUUCACCCCGACAAGGGCGGCACUGAUGAGCAGUUCCUGGCGCUCAAGGAGGCACAGCAACUGCUGCUGACCCAUCGUCAUGACCGCGGCGCCGACUGGGCGGCAAAGGGGGCGAAGGGCGAGGGUGGUCACGGUGGAAUCAACUUUCGGCGCAUGAACUACGACAACCUCACAAAUACGAUUCAUCGGCAGACAGCCGACAACCCCGAAUGCCGCUCCUUCGGUCUGCAGGACUUCGCUGUCUUUCUCGUCUUCAUCACCGCGGUGGGGAUGUACUACGUUUACAAGACAUACACCACCCACAUGCAAGUACUCAGGAGUCGAUGGAGCUACUCCGAAGACGCGAUUCGCGCAGACUACAAGGGCAAAGCACCCUCUGAAGGGUUGUGGCAUCCGUGGAUCGCAGACGUGGAGACUCGCGACCGCAUGGACGACAUUGCGAUUCUUCAGGGUAGCGUCAAGCGAGCGUUCAUUGAUGAGAAGCGAAAGGAUGCACCACCGGUGUACACACCGUGGCAGUCCGGCGGGCCAUUUGCGCGCCACAUGGCCCCGACGCGGGCGCCAGAGAUGCCGGAGGAUGCGCAUGCGUCUGCGAGCACCCCAUCCACCACGAGGUGGCUAAGAGCGUGAGUCGUAUAAACGUAAUGCGCCACGGUGCCCUUUUCCUUCGCAGCAAAAGACGAACAACGCGCCACAGCGUCGCCAAUUUUACUCUUCAAAUGAGGAGAAAACGUGCAACGGGAGGAAAACUCCAUUUUUUCUUUUAGGGCCUGUGUGAUUCUGUGUCCAGGAGUCGUAGUUGCCGCACAGAGCGUGCUCAGCGGGCGAUGGUGGCUUGUGCCCCCCUCUUUCUUUUCUCACAGUGCUGCUGGGCUGAAGGCGCGUCUGUGAGUCCGUUUGGUGCCACUAGGUGCGCCACUCCCGCACAUGUUGUGUUGCGUCGUCGUUCUUUUUGACCCUUGCGGUUUUUGUUUUGUUGUUGUUGUUGAUGUUUGUCCGCCUCUCCUCACCCUUUUUCUUUUUGCGCAGCUGACUUUGUGUAGGUUACGCAUGGAUAUGCCGUGUGUUUGUGGAUGGAAGUGCGACAGUGGGCGCUGGCCUCGCGUAAAGGAAAAGGCCAAGGAGCAAGGGGAGGGAUGGGUUGCAUCUCUCGCUCUCUCUCCAAAUCGUAGUGUGGCAUAAUCAGGGUGUUGCCAACGGCUCCGUGUUCGUUGCGCCCACGUGUAUUGUGGCUCCUCUCCUCCGGCUGCAGGCACCCCUUUUUUUUGCGUUUCAUUUUCUAUGCCUUUCUCUUCGCCACUCUUCCCUCGCACACGUUACCAUCUUGGCAGCACAGCAACAACA
rnacentral:misc_RNA from 1 species